GAUUGAAACAUGAAACAUGGUGGACAAUGUACUGGUUUAACUUGUUAAAAUAUUAAGUUAAAGAAAUUUAACAAACAGAAGAGUUCAUUAGUUUUUCCAUUAAAAACACUUUCUUCAAAUACUUAUGUAUUUAUAUCAUUUGGAAAGUGACAUGAAAUAUUGUUAAAGAGUGAUGCAUACAGUGAUUGAGCAGGCUGUCUAGGAAUAGAACAACAACUGAAGUUGAUGGAAGAUACUGCAGAGUUUGGCAGGGAAAUAAUCCAACAGCAAAGCGGCUCUUUAAGCGCAUUUACCUAGAGGACUUACAGGGCUACAAAUUCAUGAGCACAUGUGAGCAGUAUACAAUGUACCUCAUACCAAAAAGGACCCGGAGGCAGUGACUGGUGUUCAAUAUUCUCAGAAGAAAAGGAAAAUGGCAGUGGAAGACUUGGACAAACAUUUUUAGCCUCUGUGUUAAGCCUGGCAGUCUGUGGCUGGUGACAUGUUUUAUUUUGGUUACUUCUUGUAAAAAAAGACCAGUUAUUUAUUUUGUGAAUUGUAUUUUGUGUUUGUUUUUUGUCUUAAUUUAUUUGUUGUUUUUUUUAAUUUAGGAAUUUGAAACUUGGAUAAUUGAAUUAAGUCCGUGUUCAACAGUACUGAGCAUAGUAUAAUAAAUAACAAAUUUACAACAGUUGUUAAUUUGUUAUGUAUUAUUAUUAACUAUGCUCAGUACUUGAAUACUGGCUGUCUGCAUGGGAAUUUGUUUUCUAGAAAGUUGGUUUCAGACUUAAAUAUUUGAAGUUAACCUUCGGAACUUUUCUAGAAUUGUACUGGAACACAUCAACUAGAACUGAACUUCUGUUAUCUUACUGAAAGUGUUCUAGAAUUAAUAAGGAACAGUUGUUGAACGUUAAAAUUUAUGAGAAAAAACUCUAGAACAAUUGUGUGUGAUGUGUGUGUGCAUGUAAUUGUGUGUGUUUAUGAACAUAUGUGAGAAAGGAAGUAUACUUGUCAUAAGAGAAAUGUAAAAUUCUACUUCUAUGUUUUAUAUUGUGCCUUUUUUAAGUUUUUCUGUUCUCACCUGUAUAUGUGUGCAUGUUUAUGGAUGUGUUUUUGAAUGUGUGCAUGCAUGCCUGUGGUUAAGAGAGUUGGUACUUUAUGAAAAUGUAAAACCACUCAUUUUUGAAUAUGUACUGUGACUGCAUGUGUGUGGUAAAUGAUUGAUGCCAGAUCUUGUUCUUGCUUAACUUCUAUGAUGAAACCUUUAGUUACAUUCACAUUUGUUUUUCAAAAUCAAUAAAAUGCCUUUGAUCUAUAA